UUCUCUCUCUCUCUCUUCAAAUGCAAACUACAAAAUCUACAAGAAUCAGAAGUUCAAGACCCAUAUUUUCAGUUUAUCUCUCUGUCUGCAAGAAUCAAAAGUUCAAAUCCCAUAUCCGCAUAUCAUUUCAGAUUCUUCAAAAAAUCAAAACCCAUAUCUUUCAGUUUCCAUCACCCGCUGUUCCAGUUCGGGUUCGCCGUUCGCAAGCUUUAGCCGCUGUCUCUCAACUCUCAAGCUUCCCCCCCUCUCUGCAACUGCUAACUUGUAUGUAUGGGUUUUGUUUUAAUUUUUUUUUUCUUUCUAAUUCAACUAAUCAAGCUCUGUAAUUCUUGUUUUGCAAAAUUAAAUCCUAUUUGGUGAAAUUUUUUAUGAUCUUUUUUAUAUAAUUUUUUUUUUUUACUAUAUGAAGUAACAAAUUUUUUUAUAAUCUUUUUUAUGAUCUUUUUUAUAUGAUCUUUUUUAUAUAAUCCAUUUCUGCAUCUCCUCCGUCUAUAUAAUAAUACACAUAUAUACCUCUCGACUCUGUGUUGCUUCAUUUUCUCUUUCGUCUCUAUUUUUUUUUGUCUCUGUUGCAAAUAUCAGUCCUCUCUCUAGUCUAUACCCUGCCCAAGGAUCAUGCCUCGUCAGUCCUCUGGUAUACUUGUUGGGAAGAAAGCUCAACCGAAGUGAAGUGAGUGGUAUCGGAAAAAUAUUGCGUUGUUGAUGACCAGAGUGUCGAUCGUAUCGAAUUGUUCAGAAGAAGGAUGUAAUAGUGUACCAAUUGGUGACUUAUGCCACUGUUGAAGAAGCUAUUUACAAAAAAACAAGUUUAAUACAUACAUUGUUGUACUUGUCUACACACUGUUUGGUAUAGAUGUCUUCCUUUUGUUUUUUUUUUUUUUUGUUACUUAAAUUUCAUGAUAUAGGUAAUGAAAACUGGACUAGGCUGUUUAAAUGUGUGACUGAAGAUAAAGUAUGGUAUUUUAGUCUAAAGGAAUCUGAAGAUGUGUUUAGGCUCCCAAAAAGGGGUUUGGUGUUUCUGUUACGUGCUGCAAGCAGUGCACGGCCAUCCACUUUUAGUUGAAUUAUAUAAAUCCCUUUACCAUUGUAGCAGUGAUGUUGGUUUUAAAAUGACCAAUUAUGAUAGGAAGUCUCUUUUCAGUUUAUCUUAAUCAAAUGUAUAUGUAUGCAACAGGAUUACGUGAUUCUAGAUGAGGAUGUUAAUGUUCUAGUGAUGACGACUGAUGAUGUGUUGAUGAGGAUGUUAAUGACUUCUGUUGUAUAUGUGAUGCACUCAAAUUAAGUCUAUUGUUUGAAAGCACUUAUGCCUUUUCAAUGUCCAGUUUGCACACAAUCCCCAGAACACCACUUCUAAUUUUGGCCUCCACACACUCACUAGCAACCAAUAUUGAAUCCAUAAUCUGAGGACCACUAACAAAAGCAUUCUAAGAAUCCGAAAUCACCUCAUCUAAAACCGUCCUCAAACGGAUGGCUAAUAUGUAGAGAAAAUCUUAUAAAUGGUACCCAUCAAGCUGAUCGAUCUGAAGUCCUUUGCAUCGAAAACACCACUUUUCUUCGGGAUAAGAUCGAUAAAAGAGGCAUCAAGGUUUUUCUCAAAAACACCAUAUGAGAAGAAAGAGCUCCCAUCACGUCGGGCUUAACCACCUCCCAAUUGUGUUGGAAGAAAGCUAACGUAAACCCAUCCGGCCUUGGGGCUUUGUCACCCUCACAACUCCUCAAGGCUUCCAAUACCUCCUCCUCCCUGAAAGGCCUCUCAAGCCACUUUUUAUCUUCACUCGAUAUUUAGUCAAACUCCAGACCAUCCAGUAUAGCCUAUAGGUCUCCAUGAAGCAGUUUCCAUGAAUAGGUUCUGAAAAAAUACCACAAAACCAGCUCGUACGUCCUCAUCCCUUGUAUCCAUAUUACAGUCAAAACAUAUUCUACUGAUGUGGUUUCCUCUUCUACGGGCAUUAGCCAAGCGGUGGAAAAAACUCGUAUUCUGAUCACCUUCUGUUAGCCAAAGAGCUCUAGAUCUCUGCCUCCAAUAGAUCUCUUCCAUUAUCACAAUCUCUCCAAACUUAACCUUUCAUUUUGCCCUCCUAUUUGAGUCCGUAGCGCUAAGAAAUCCUUUACCUUCCUUUUUAUCAAUGUCAGCAAUUUCUUGAAUAAUUCUGUUUUUACGCCAUAUCAGAUUACCAAACACUUCUUAUUCCGCUUCUGUAAAUUCCCCUUAAGCAACAUAAUUUUGGAUGCAAGUGGAAAACUUGUGUUUCCCCUAACUUCAUCCCAUGUCCACCAGUAAUGAACCCUCUCCUUGAAGUCCCCUAGUCUAAGCCACAUAUUCUCAAAACAGAACGGUGUUCGCCUUCUCCUUACCCCUCCACAAUCGAGUAGAAUAGUAAUAUGGUCUGAAACCACUCUUGCUAAAGCAACUUCCGACACAUCUGGGAAUUUCUUUUCCAAUUCUAUCGAAAUAAAAAAUCUGUCCAGCCGAGACAACGUAGGGGACUCCCGUCCACUAGACCAUGUAAACUGCCCUCCCUCCAUUGGAAGAUCAAAAAGAUGUUGAGCGUCAAUGAAAUCUGAAAACUCCUUCAUCGCAUGCGUCGAUCUUCCUUUGUGGAUCUUUCAUUAGGCUUCUUGGCAACAUUAAAAUCCCCUCCCACACAGCACGGAGCUGUACAUUUCCUUCUAGCAAACAACAACUCCUUCCAUAACACCCUUCUAUCCACAUCCCUUACUGGCUCAUAAACUCCAGAGAAUAACCACUGCGAUCCCAUCUUCCUCCAGAGAGAAUAAAAUAGAAAUAGAUGAUCUCCCCUUCCACAUGUCAACCUUAGAUACCCACCUUUUAUCCCAGACGACCAUAAUCCCU